rnacentral:lncRNA from 13 species
CACCAUGCCCAGCUAAUUUUUUGUAUUUUUAGUAGAGAUGGGGUUUCACCAUGUUGACCAGGAUGGUCUCGAUCUCUUGACCUCGUGAUCCACCCACCUCGGCCUCCCAAAGUGCUGGGAUUACAGGCUUGAGCCACCGCGCCCGGCCUAAUUUUGUGUUUUUAAUUGUAAUUUUUUAAGUCCAUUGUGGGUCCAAUUCUUGUGUUGGAAACUUCAUCUUCAAUGCAGUAGUCUUGAGAGAUGAAAUCUCUAGAAGGUGAUUUGGCCAUGAGGGCUCUACCCUCAUGAAUGGAUUAAUGACAUUGAAGCUGUGGGUUCCUGAUUUAAAAAAAUGAGUUCAGCUGUCUUCUGUUCUCUUUCUUGAGCUUGUAUUCUCUUGUUUUUCUACUUUCUGCCAUCUGAUGACAGAGGAGGAAGUCCCACACCAGAUGUCGGCACCUUGCUAUUAGCUUUCCCAGCCUCCAGAUCUACUGAAGAGUAGGAGGAGGAAGAGGAAGAGGAGAGGUUGGUCAUGCUAUCUCAGGAGUGGCAGAGGUGGAAAAAAGUCUGAAUGCAAGUGGACCUGCAAACCUGUGUAGCUCAAGGCCCAAGUAAAGAACUGGUGUACAAA